GAGAAGUUCGUGACGAAUCGAAUUUACUGUAGUUCGCUCAUCUCUAAGUAUUAUAUUCAGAGGGUGCAGUGGGUGGUAGUAUUAUAUUCAGGGGUACAGUAUGUGGCAGAUUUAUAUUCAGGGGUACAGUAUGUGGCAGAUUUAUAUUCAGAGGGUACACUAUGUGGCAGAUUUAUAUUCAGGGGGCGCAGUUUGUGGUAGUAUUAUAUUCAGAGGGCGCAGUGGGUGGUAGUAUUAUAUUCAGAGGGUACAAUAUGUGGUAGUAUUAUAUUCAGUGGGUACAGCGUGUGGCGGUAUUAUAUUCAGGGGUACAGUAUGUGGCAGAUUUAUAUUCAGGGGUGCAGUAUGUGGCAGAUUUAUAUUCAGAGGGCACAGUGUGUGGUAGUAUUAUAUUCAGAGGGCGCAGUGGGUGGUAGUAUUAUAUUCAGAGGGCGCAGUGGGUGGUAGUAUUAUAUUCAGAGGGCGCAGUGGGUGGUAGUAUUAUAUUCAGAGGGUACAGUGUGUGGCGGUAUUAUAUUCAGGGUUACAGUAUGUGGCAGAUUUAUAUUCAGAGUGUACAGUAUAUGUUGGUAUUAUAUUCAGAAUGUACAGUGUGUGGUAGUAUUAUAUUCAGUGGGUAUGGUGUAUGGAAGAUUUAUAAUCAAAGAGUAUAGUGUAUAGUAGUAUUAUAUUUAGAGGAUACUGUGUCUGGCAGGUUUAUAAUAAUAACUGUUUUCAUAUAGAGGAUGAGAAUGCGCUGACAUAGAGAGGAGACGUCUGGGCGUCACAUUCUGCAGACAGAAGUUUUAGCUGGAACAAGUCCUGGCGGUGUCUGUUCCUCCGUGGUCGCCUUGAGUGUCCCGCCGCGCCCACACCGCCUCCCCUUGUCUGGACAACCAGCUGUUGUAGGAUGGCGGAGUGUCCCCUGAUGUUCCUUCUGUGGGCGUGGUGGCCUGGAGGCGACCGCCGAUGGACAGGUUACUUCAAGGGGCGAUAGCUCCACCUUCCCUACUCUUUCUCUCUCUUGCUCCGUCUAUUCCCUCCCUCAUUUUACGUUGCUCUACCUCUCCUUUUUCCCUCUAUUACGAUUAGAUGUUUCUGUUUGUAUUGCUUUUUUUGACCUGACCAAUGCCGCAGUUCUCUUUAUCUAUAUUAUUCGGUAAUGUGUACAAUUUAAUGCCAAAUAGUGAUUUGAUGCUCUGAACCUGCAAUUUCCAUGUAUGUCUGCUGUACCGGACUCAUGCCCAAGUCACUUCCCAUUCUGCAUUUUGUCUGCCGAUUUAGAG